UACGGAGGGGGCUAGCGUUGUUCGGAAUUAUUGGGCGUAAAGGGCGCGUAGGCGGCCGAAUAAGUCUGAUGUGAAAUCCCUCGGCUCAACCGGGGAACUGCAUCUGAAACUGUUCGGCUCGAGUCCGGGAGAGGGUAGUGGAAUUCCCAGUGUAGCGGUGAAAUGCGUAGAUAUUGGGAGGAACACUGGUGGCGAAGGCGGCUACCUGGACCGGUACUGACGCUGAGGCGCGAAAGCUAGGGUAGCAAACAGG
rnacentral:rRNA from 1 species